rnacentral:rRNA from 1 species
UACGUAGGGGGCUAGCGUUGUCCGGAAUCAUUGGGCGUAAAGAGCGUGUAGGCGGCCCGGUAAGUCCGCUGUGAAAGUCGGGGGCUCAACCCUCGAAUGCCGGUGGAUACUGUCGGGCUAGAGUGCGGAAGAGGCGAGUGGAAUUCCGUGGUGUAGCGGUGAAAUGCGCAGAUAUCAGGAGGAACACCGAUGCGAAGGCAGCUCGCUGGGACGUCACUGACGCUGAGACGCGAAAGCGUGGGGGAGCAAACAGG